AAAAAUUUUAAAUCUAACUCACUUUUUGGUGGUCCAUAUAUUUCACAAAUAGAAACUUGACUGAAAGGUAAAACUACAUUCCUGCCCUGACUAAAAAAAUAUAGAGCUGCAGUUUAUAAUUUAUACAACCACACACACAUAAUCAGUCCCAAAUGAGUACUAGAGGUAGAGCUGUCAAAUGGUCGGGCCGUCCAUGGGCUUGACCAGUCCAAACUGUGAUGGGCGGUUCAUGGGCUUGACCAAAUAACAAAUGGUCCAAUUGGGCGUAAAACCGUUUUCACCCGUGGACAAUUUGGUCCUGCCCGAAUGGACUCUGGGCGGCCCAAACCAUUAAAAAAAUUAGGGUUUUUUUAAUUUGGGGAAAAAUAAUUUUCGCGAUUCUGGUGAUUCUCGCGGUUCUGGCGAUUCUCCACUUCUCCUCCAUUCCUGCCCUGACUAAAAAAAUAUAGAGCUGCAGUUUAUAAUUUAUACAACCACACACACAUAAUCAGUCCCAAAUGAGUACUAGAGUCUAGAGGAAUCUCUGGCUAUAAUCCAGAGAGCAUGUAUUUCACGUGAUCAGUUUCGCCUACCAGUGUUGCUAUUUGAGGACGAACACUAAGUACCAGUCCAUAAGUCAUGUCAUGUUCUGAGCAGCCAUU
rnacentral:lncRNA from 1 species